UCAGCCAAGGAAAGAAAGACCUUGAGCCCUUAUAAUAAGCCAAGAGAAGGUAAAGCUUCCUUCCUCCCUGCAAAGUUUUGACCCUUGAAGACAGCUGCUGCCUCAGAGAGGAGUCAGGAUAUUUGGGAUUGCCUGGACAGGAAGGAGUGAAGCAGGGUGAGCAACGAGGUCUUCAGGAUCAUGGAUUUCGUUUUAAAAGAGAGAGAAACUGAGGCACAGCGGUAAUGUCCCUGAGGAUAAGUGACAGUCAGGAGCUCAGAUCACAGCUGAUAACCUUCAGCACACCAUGCAACACCACCUCAUAAAGAAGAGCUCAGAGCCCCAGAGUUGUUUGCUGUCUGGCUGCUGCAUUUGGCCCCCAGGCUCUCUACAUCCAGAGGGACACAGCUCCCAAAAGAUCCUUGGAAUCCUCAUAAGCACCAACUCCAUCCACGUGCUGAAGGUGAGGCUGCCCCAGG